UUUGCCAAAAGUUCUUCAACGGCUCGGCGCCAGUGAGUCAUUCGCAAUCGUAUGCUGCGAAUGCCGCAUUAUACAAAAGCCAGCCUUUUGACAUAAGCUACUGUUCCAUACGAACAGAUAUAUGAUUUUAAAAAUUACGAUUCAAUAUG